rnacentral:rRNA from 1 species
AUUGAACGCUGGCGGCAGGCUUAACACAUGCAAGUCGAGCGGAGUGAUGGUGCUUGCACUAUCACUUAGCGGCGGACGGGUGAGUAAUGCUUAGGAAUCUGCCUAUUAGUGGGGGACAACAUCUCGAGAGGGAUGCUAAUACCGCAUACGUCCUACGGGAGAAAGCAGGGGAUCACUUGUGACCUUGCGCUAAUAGAUGAGCCUAAGUCGGAUUAGCUAGUUGGUGGGGUAAAGGCCUACCAAGGCGACGAUCUGUAGCGGGUCGGAGAGGAUGAUCCGCCACACUGGGACUGAGACACGGCCCAGAGUCCUACGGGAGGCAGCAGUGGGGAAUAUUGGACAAUGGGGGGAACCCUGAUCCAGCCAUGCCGCGUGUGUGAAGAAGGCCUUAUGGUUGUAAAGCACUUUAAGCGAGGAGGAGGCUCUUUUGGUUAAUACCCAAGAUGAGUGGACGUUACUCGCAGAAUAAGCACCGGCUAACUCUGUGCCAGCCGCCGCGGUAAUAC